GUGAACGCUGGCGGUAGGCCUAACACAUGCAAGCCGAACGGCAGCACAGGAGAGCUUGCUCUCUAGGUGGCGAGUGGCGGACGGGUGAGGAAUACAUCGGAAUCUGCCCAGUCGUGGGGGAUAACGUAGGGAAACUUACGCUAAUACCGCAUACGACCUUCGGGUGAAAGAGGGGGAUCGCAAGACCUCUCGCGAUUGGAUGAGCCGAUGUCGGAUUAGCUAGUUAGCGGGGUAAUGGCCCACCAAGGCGACGAUCCGUAGCUGGUCUGAGAGGAUGAUCAGCCACACUGGAACUGAGACACGGUCCAGACUCCUACGGGAGGCAGCAGUGGGGAAUAUUGGACAAUGGGCGCAAGCCUGAUCCAGCCAUACCGCGUGGGUGAAGAAGGCCUUCGGGUUGUAAAGCCCUUUUGUUGGGAAAGAAAUCUUUCAGGCUAAUACCCUGGGAGGAUGACGGUACCCAAAGAAUAAGCACCGGCUAACUUCGUG
rnacentral:rRNA from 1 species